rnacentral:rRNA from 1 species
GACGAACGCUGGCGGCGUGCUUAACACAUGCAAGUCGAGCGGUAAGGCCGUUCGGGGUUGCCGUGCGGCGAAGGGGGGAGUGACACGUGGGGGAACUGACCUGCACCUCGGGAUUAGCCUGGGAAAAUGGGGCUAAUCUUGCGCAUGUCCCCCUUUCGCCCGGUGGGUGGAGGCAAGAUUUAUUGGUGCAGGAUGGGCGCGCGGCCUAUGAUCUUGUUGGUGGUGUAAUGGGGUGCAAAGGCGACGACGGGUAGCCGACCUGAGAGGGUGAACGGCGACCAUGGGACUGCGAGAGGGCGCAGUCUCCAACGGGAGGCAGCAGUGGGGAAUAUUGCACAAUGGGCGCGAGCCUGAUGAGGCGACGCCGGGUGUGGGAUGCCGGCUUUCGGGUUGUAAAACGCUUUCGGCUGGGACGACGCGGAAGUGACGGUACCUGAAGAAGAAGCACCGGCUAACUACGUG